rnacentral:lncRNA from 1 species
CCCUCUGUUGAUCCACUCCAACCAGAUGAUUGGCCUCUGCCAGAAGCACCAGAUUGAUUCCAGGUCAUAGCAUCACCCCCAGUCAUCCCUGCUUCUCCUGAGCCUGCUCCUUUUGUCCCCCAGCCACCACCUUGAGCACUGGAACCAGGUCCUUUGUUCCAGCCACCCCCUUGAUCUUCCGAACCUUUAAUUUCUUUGCUUGAUUGACUCCAGCCCUCACCAGAAGGAUUUGAUGACUUCCAGCUGUUUCCUUGACCCCAGGCAGCAUCGCUGUUUGCACCAGAAGGUCCUUUGUUCCAGCCACCCCCUUGAUCUUCUGAACCUUUAAUUUCUUUGCUUGAUUUACUCCAGCCCUCACCAGAAGGAUUUGAUGACUUCCAGCUGUUUCCUUGACCCCAGGCAACAUCGCUGUUUGCACAGGUUCCCUUGUUCCA